rnacentral:rRNA from 1 species
AUGAACCAUCAGCUAAAGGGAGUGAUAGGAAAAUAUUUUGUUGAAUGCAAUGGGAAGGCGAAAAACGACACGCCUUGGCGAAGCAACUCUAAGAUUCGGCAAGAACAAAUCAGAUGGAACAAGUUUGCUACGGGUGGGUGUGCAUCAAGUUGCUUCGUUGCCGGCGCUUACGGCUUUUUUGUUGAUCAUACGUACAAGGGGAAUCAGGUAGGGUUUGAUGCGCCUUUCAUACGAAAUGUUGAUGAGAAUUACCCAAGUAGUCCAGCAGCUAACUACUCCAUGAUCACAGCAGUAAACAUUGAUAAGAGUACAAGCAUUGGAGGAGUACUCACCACGUUUGAGGAAGUCGUCAUCAUGGUGGUGGUGGUCGAGGAAGUCGUAGGUGCUGGUGGCAUCAUCACGGAGCAGUUACCAUCUUCUCCUCGACUUAAAAUGUAG